CCCAAGGUAGAAAAUGAAAACGUUUACCUCUUCAGUCUUAUAUUUAAAUGAGAUUUUAUCAUGGCGACGAGAAUAUUUCUAUUGAUGAGCAUUAUUGAAGCAUGUUGAAGCAGAAGAGUGUUUCAAGAGGCAGUUGAAAAUUCUAACAACGGAAGGAACAUCGUUUGCUAUUGUUCAUGUAUGCAUUAUGUGAUUGUGAGUACCUAGGAACAGGAAAAAGAAGAAAGUACAUACGUGCUUGACGACGAAGUUUCAAAGGAUCAAAAUCGCACUGUUUUAUAAAGCUUGGAACAAUGGUACGAGUAAAUGGGAGGGAUUUAUCUUCUUCAAAGCAUCUAACCGUGAGCAGCUUUAGCUGGGGGGUAUAAGCGAUUGUGCUCAAAAAGAUCUGUCGAAGAGCCGUCCGACGUUCGACGCGGUGAAGGGUCAAAGGGGAAUUAAAAUGAAACUGAGGGAGGUUUAUCAUACAAAAUAAUUGAACAGACAGGGACGAUCAAAAGAUUCAUCUUUUUUCAAAGUAAUACCAUUAGCAGGGGAAUACUUUUCAAUUAUACGUGAAAUAGAAAGUCCACGUCACGUCAUUAUUAUUCCAUCGAUUUAAAUUAAAUAACCAUUCGAUAUAAUUAAAAAGG